rnacentral:lncRNA from 13 species
GUCACCAAUUUUCAUGGAGUUUAAUACCAGUAUGCAAUAUUUACAUGCCAAAGUGAACUAAAAGUGGAAUAUUAACAUCUCAAGAUCUCCAAGAUUUUAAGAAGGAAAUCCAAAACUAUGUUGGCAGUGACAAUGAAAAGUGUCUUCUAUCUAGAAAUAAAACAGAAUAUGAAGAAAAAAACAACGGUGCUGUCAGAGAAAAGGUAUCUGCAAAAACAAAUGAGUUAGAGAAAUAAGUUUGGUUUUGAUGAAGCUGAGUUUGAGAAACCUGAGAGAUAUCCAGGAAAGAGCCCUCAAGGGCUCAUAGUCUGGGGAAGGUGGCUGCAUGUGAACAAACAUUAGAAUGUACUAGAGAUACAGCAACAUUAAAAAAAAAGUUUUUUUAAUAAUAAUAGUAAUGAAGAAGAAUAAGAAGGAGGGAAAAGAGAAAAGACUAAGAAGAGCCAUGCCCAGACCUGAUAAAAAGAUUAUGGAGCACCAUUCAGAGAUCCUGGACUCGAAAAUUGAUUCAGUCACUGGAUGGAACUUUGGGCCAUGAAUUGAGUGCCUGCCAU